rnacentral:rRNA from 1 species
GUGGAUUAGAUACCCUGGUAGUCCUAGCUGUAAACGGUGCACGUUUGCUGUAAAAGGAAUCGACCCCUUUUGUGGCGCAGCUAACGCGUUAAACGUGCCGCCUGGGAAGUACGGUCGCAAGAUUAAAACUCAAAGAAAUUGACGGGGGCCUGCACAAGCGGUGGAGUAUGUGGCUCAAUUCGAUGCAACGCGAAGAACCUUACCUGGCCUUGACAUGCAAGUAGUAGAAGGAUGAAAGUCUGACGAGGUAGCAAUACCAGCUUGCACAGGUGCUGCACGGUCGUCGACAACU